rnacentral:rRNA from 1 species
CAACUUUCAGUGAUGGAUGUUCUUGGCUAGCACCUGUGAAGGGCGCAGUGAAGCGCGAUAUCUUUGUGAAUUGCAACUCCGUGAACCAAUGGCCUCCUGAACGUACGUUGCACUCUGGGAUUCCUGAGAGUAUGUAGCUUCAGUG